GACGGGGGGUCCAAGCGUUGUUCGGAAUCAUUGGGCGUAAAGCGUGUGCAGGUGGUUUGGUAAGUUGGAUGUGAAAGCCCCGGGCUUAACCCGGGAAGUGCAUUCAAAACUACCAAGCUUGAAUAUGGAAGAGGGUCGUGGAAUUCCUGGUGUAGUGGUGAAAUACGUAGAUAUCAGGAGGAACACCGGUGGCGAAGGCGGCGACCUGGUCCAAUAUUGACACUCAUACACGAAAGCGUGGGGAGCAAACAGG
rnacentral:rRNA from 1 species